GGGAGUUUGGCCGAGUGGUUAAGGCGUCAGGUUUAGGAUAUUUCACACUAUCAGAAACCCUGAUAUCUUCGGAUGCGCGGGUUCGAAUCCCUCAGCUCUCA
rnacentral:tRNA from 1 species